rnacentral:rRNA from 1 species
GACGUAGGGCGCGAGCGUUGUCCGGAUUUAUUGGGCGUAAAGAGCUCGUAGGCGGUGUGUCACGUCGGCCGUGAAAACCUGGGGCUUAACUCUGGGCGUGCGGUCGAUACGGGCAUCACUAGAGUUCGGCAGGGGAGACUGGAAUUCCUGGUGUAGCGGUGAAAUGCGCAGAUAUCAGGAGGAACACCGGUGGCGAAGGCGGUUCUCUGGGCAUGUCCUGACGCUGAGGAGCGAAAGUGUGGGGAGCGAACAGG